rnacentral:lncRNA from 1 species
UUGGACAAGUACAUUCAAGGGCUGAAAAAUAACAUGAAUUGUGAGGCAAGGGGCCUGGAGAGUCACAUAAAAUCCUAUCUGAGCAGCUGGUUUGAGGAUGUUGUAUGCCCAAUCCAAAGGGUUGUUCUUCUCUUUCAGGAAAAGCUUACCUUUCUGCUACAUGCUGCUUUGAGUUACACUCCUGUUGAAGUUAAAGAAUCAGAUGAAAAAACAAAGAGAGACAUUAACAGGUAAAGAACAGUUUUUUCAAAGAGAAAAGCUUUUCCACAGCAAGAUUGACAUCUGUGUUUGUAAACUGCUCCUUCCAUCCCUUCCCCACCAGCCCAGUGCAAAAUAAAUUUGUUUUCAUCCUUC